rnacentral:rRNA from 1 species
UACGUAGGGGGCGAGCGUUGUCCGGAUUCAUUGGGCGUAAAGAGCUCGUAGGCGGCUUGUCAAGUCGGGUGUGAAACCUCCAGGCUCAACCUGGAGACGCCACUCGAGACUGUCAUGGCUAGAGUCCGGUAGGGGAUCACGGAAUUCCUGGUGUAGCGGUGAAAUGCGCAGAUAUCAGGAGGAACACCAAUGGCGAAGGCAGCUCGCUGGGACGGUACUGACGCUGAGACGCGAAAGCGUGGGGAGCAAACAGG